rnacentral:rRNA from 1 species
GACGAACGCUGGCGGCGUGCUUAACACAUGCAAGUCGAACGAUGAAGCCUAGCGUGCUAGGUGGAUUAGUGGCGAACGGGCGAGUAAUACGUGAGUAACCUACCUUUAACUCUGGGAUAAGCGCGGGAGACUGGGUCUAAUAGCGGAUACGACCAAUCUCCGCAGGGGGUGUGGGGGGAAAGUGCGAUGUUGUGGUGAUAGAUGGGCUCACGGCCAAUGAGCUUGUUGGUGGGGUAACGGUACACCAAGGCGACGACGGGUCGCCGGCCUGAGAGGGUGACCGGCCACACUGGGACUGCGACACGGACCAGACUCCUACGGGAGGCAGCAGUGGGAAGUAUUGCACAGUGGGCGCAAGCCUGAUGCAGCGACGCCGCGUGAGGGAUGACGGCCUUCGGGUUGUAAACCUCUGUUAGCAGGGAAGAAGAGAGAUUGACGGUACCUGAAGAGAAAGCGCCGGCUAACUACGUG